GCAGCCGCCACGGUAAUACGUAGGUGGCAAGCGUUGUCCGGAAUUAUUGGGCGUAAAGCGCGCGCAGGCGGAUCAGUUAGUCUGUCUUAAAAGUUCGGGGCUUAACCCCGUGAUGGGAUGGAAACUGCUGAUCUAGAGUAUCGGAGAGGAAAGUGGAAUUCCUAGUGUAGCGGUGAAAUGCGUAGAUAUUAGGAAGAACACCAGUGGCGAAGGCGACUUUCUGGACGAAAACUGACGCUGAGGCGCGAAAGCCAGGGGAGCGAACGGGAUUAGAUACCCCAGUAGUCCCUGUCUCUUAUACA
rnacentral:rRNA from 1 species